rnacentral:lncRNA from 1 species
CAGUAAAUAUAAAUAAGGACAUAUACCUAAAAGCUCCGAACCGUCACUCCAGAAGAAACGAGAAAUGCAUACGCCCAUUCUUGUCACGUUGUCACACCUUUAAGCAUUCUUUUAUUCCCGCAGUUAUAGAGUUGUGGAAUGACCUGCCGAAUGACGUCGUCGGUGCUCAAUCACUUGAUUCAUUUUCGUCGCUGCUGGAAUCUCAUUUAGAGGCAUUGCAAUAGAUCUUGUGCUAUCUU